UCGAGAAUUUUUCUCAAUGGGCGAAAGCCUGAAGGAGCGACGCCGCGUGGAGGAUGAAGGUCUUCGGAUUGUAAACUCCUGUCAUUAGGGAACAAGUGCCGGCAUUUAACUGGUGUCGGCUUGAUAGUACCUGAAGAGGAAGAGACGGCUAACUCUGUGCCAGCAGCCGCGGUAAUACAGAGGUCUCAAGCGUUGUUCGGAUUCAUUGGGCGUAAAGGGUGCGUAGGCGGCGCCGUAAGUCAGGUGUGAAAUCCCGGGGCUCAACCCCGGAACGGCACUUGAUACUGCGGUGCUUGAGGACUGGAGAGGAGACUGGAAUUCCCGGUGUAGCAGUGAAAUGCGUAGAUAUCGGGAGGAAGGCCAGUGGCGAAGGCGGGUCUCUGGACAGUUCCUGACGCUGAGGCACGAAGGCCAGGGGAGCAAACGGG
rnacentral:rRNA from 1 species